rnacentral:rRNA from 1 species
UACGAAGGGGGCUAGCGUUGUUCGGAAUUACUGGGCGUAAAGCGCACGUAGGCGGAUCGAUCAGUCAGGGGUGAAAUCCCAGAGCUCAACUCUGGAACUGCCUUUGAUACUGUCGAUCUAGAGUAUGGAAGAGGUGAGUGGAAUUCCGAGUGUAGAGGUGAAAUUCGUAGAUAUUCGGAGGAACACCAGUGGCGAAGGCGGCAUCCUGGACCAAUAUUGACGCUGAGGAGCGAAAAGCUAGGGGGAGCAAACGGG